rnacentral:rRNA from 1 species
UACGUAGGGUGCGAGCGUUAAUCGGAAUUACUGGGCGUAAAGCGUGCGCAGGCGGUUCGUUGUGUCGGUGGUGAAAGCCCCGGGCUUAACCCUGGGAAUGGCCGUUGAAACUGGCGAACUGGAGUGUGGCAGAGGGGGGUGGAAUCCGCGUGUAGCAGUGAAAUGCGUAGAGAUGCGGAGGAACACCGAUGGCGAAGGCAGCCCCCUGGGCUAACACUGACGCUCAGCACGAAAGCGUGGGGAGCAAACAGG